UAGCGUCCGUGUAGUUGGAGACGGUAUCCUGGAGAGGGUCUCAUGGGGGAGACCUAACCUUUUUUCUUUUGAUUAUUUUAUUAAUAAACACCCUUGAAACUGAGCUAAUCAUACUCUGUCCGUGUCUGAUCUGUGUAAACGUCUUGACCCAACUCCCUGAUCUGCCACAGUUUCCAGACAAGAACGAGAGGGGAUGCCCACUCACUAUUCCAUUUCUUGAGGAUGUCACGUUCUUCCAGUUCCUCCAAGCAGAGGAAUCUUUGUCACCAGGUCUGCCUGCUGGUGCCAUCGCUGUUAUUGUGAUUGGAGUAUUGUUAGUUGUGGGAGUGGCAGCUGGUGUUGCAGUGUUCUUCAUCAGGAAAAAUGGAAACAAUGCUGAGCCAAUGCAUCAAGGAGGCUCUCAACAACCUGUAUAUGAGAACCAUUACCUGUAUAUGAGAACACAAGACAAAAUCAAUCUCCAACUCUACCCCUGACAUAAAAUAAGUAAAUGGAAAAUCCAUUCAACCACCAUUCUCUAGUGAGUUCCAUCCUCAACACAUAGAAAACCUGCAUGAUAACACCCAGUGUGGAUCUGUAAUAUAAUAUGCAUAAUCAAUACAUUCAUGUUAUGUUUGUCUGCUUUAUUGUGUACUUUUAGUAACAAAAUAACAUGCUAAUAAAAGAAGAUAGUACUGGACUGUAACUUCAUAAAUUAAAGCAUAAGGGUGACCUCUAGUGGUAGAGGUGGAGACUUUGCUGUAAAUAGUUAUUUUUUUGUGUACUGUAUUGUCAAUUAUGGUGAAAAAAGGC